UCCCCGCAAGGGGUUGACGCUAACCUCAAAGGAAGCCCCGGCCAAAUACGUGCCACCACCCGCGGUAAUACGUAGGGGACAAACGUUACUCGGAAUUUCUGGGCGUAAAGGGUGUGUAGGUGCCUGAGUAAGUCAAAGAUGAAAUCCCGUGGCCUAACUGCGGAACUGUCUUUGAGACUGCUCGGCUUGAGGAUAGUGGAGGAGUAUGGAAUUCCCGGUGGAGCGGUGAAAUGCGUAGAUAUCGGGAGGAACACCCGAGGCGUAAGCGAUUCUUAAGGUAUUCCUGACACUGAAACACGAAAGCUAGGGGAGCGCACGGGAUUAGAUACCCCGGUAGUCCUAGCCAUAAACGAUGGACACUAGAUAUUCCUGCGUUCAUCGUGGGAGUGUCGAAGCUAACGCGAUAAGUGUCCCGCCUGGGG
rnacentral:rRNA from 1 species